AGUGAACGCUGGCGGUAGGCCUAACACAUGCAAGUCGAACGGCAGCACAGUAAGAGCUUGCUCUUACGGGUGGCGAGUGGCGGACGGGUGAGGAAUACAUCGGAAUCUACUUUUUCGUGGGGGAUAACGUAGGGAAACUUACGCUAAUACCGCAUACGACCUACGGGUGAAAGCAGGGGAUCUUCGGACCUUGCGCGAUUGAAUGAGCCGAUGUCGGAUUAGCUAGUUGGCGGGGUAAAGGCCUACCAAGGCGACGAUCCGUAGCUGGUCUGAGAGGAUGAUCAGCCACACUGGAACUGAGACACGGUCCAGACUCCUACGGGAGGCAGCAGUGGGGAAUAUUGGACAAAGGGCGCAAGCCUGAUCCAGCCAUACCGCGUGGGUGAAGAAGGCCUUCGGGUUGUAAAGCCCUUUUGUUGGGAAAGAAAAGCAGCAGGUUAAUACCCCGCUGUUCUGACGGUACCCAAAGGAUAAGCACCGGCUAACUUCGUG
rnacentral:rRNA from 1 species